rnacentral:rRNA from 1 species
CCUACGUGAGGCAGCAGUGGGGGAUAUUGGACAAUGGGGGGAACCCUGAUCCAGCGACGCCGCGUGAGUGAAGACGUAUUUCGGUAUUUUAAGCUCUUUCUGCAGGGAAGAAAACAAUGACGGUACCUGACGAAGAAGCCCCGGCUAACUACGUGCCAGCAGCCGCGGUAAUACGUAGGGGGCAAGCGUUAUCCGGAAUUACUGGGUGUAAAGGGUGCGUGGACGGUUAAGUAAGUCUGGGGUGAAAGGCCGGGGCCCAACCCCGGGACUGCUAUGGAAACUAUUGGACUUGAGUGCAGGAGCGGUAAGCGGAAUGCCUAGUGUAGCGGUGAAAUGCGUAGAGAUUAGGCGGAACACCAGUGGCGAAGGCGGCUUACUGGACUGUAACUGACGUUGAGGCUCGAAAGCGUGGGGAGCAAACAGGAUUAGAUACCCCUGUAGUC